UACGUAGGUGGCAAGCGUUGUCCGGAUUUACUGGGCGUAAAGAGCGCGCAGGCGGUCGUUCAAGUCGCGUGUGAAAGCCCCCGGCUCAACUGGGGAGGGUCACGCGAUACUGAUCGACUGGAAGGCAGGAGAGGGUAGUGGAAUUCCCGGUGUAGUGGUGAAAUGCGUAGAUAUCGGGAAGAACACCGGUGGCGAAGGCGGCCAUCUGGACCGGUUCUGACGCUGAGGCGCGAAAGCGUGGGGAGCAAACAGG
rnacentral:rRNA from 1 species